rnacentral:rRNA from 1 species
UACGAGGGGGGCAAGCGUUGUUCGGAAUUAUUGGGCGUAAAGCGCGCGCAGGCGGUCUCUUAAGUCUGAUGUGAAAGCCCACGGCUCAACCGUGGAGGGUCAUUGGAAACUGGGGGACUUGAGUACAGAAGAGGAAGGCGGAAUUCCACGUGUAGCGGUGAAAUGCGUAGAGAUGUGGAGGAACACCAGUGGCGAAGGCGGCUUUCUGGUCUGUAACUGACGCUGAGGCGCGAAAGCGUGGGGAGCAAACAGG